rnacentral:RNase_P_RNA from 1 species
CCCGCAGGUGGGACUGCCGCGUGUCAUGGUGCCGAAAGGUAUUGGCAUGAGGAAAGUCCGGGCAUCGCAGGGCAGGAUAACGGAUAACGUCCGCCGAGGGGAACCUCCGGGAAAGUGCAACAGAAAUAGACUACCAACGUAUUGCAGAAUACACGGUACAGAUGGAAAGGCGAGGUAAAAGCUCACCGGCACGACAGGCGACUGUGUGCAAAUGUAAACCCUAUCCGAUGCAACACCGUAUGUGCGGGGUCCCUUGUGACCGUGCCGGCCCGGCAUAUCCGCACAGGUGGCUAUCAGGUCUGCGGCAACGCCGAUCACAGAUAGAUGGCAGUCACGCAGCAAUGCGUACAGAACCCGGCUUACAAGCCUGCCGGAAAA